rnacentral:rRNA from 1 species
UACGUAGGGGGCAAGCGUUGUCCGGAAUCAUUGGGCGUAAAGCGCGUGUAGGCGGUUCGAUAAGUCUGCUGUGAAAGUCCAGGGCUCAACCCUGGAAUGCCGGUGGAUACUGUCGGACUAGAGUGCGGAAGAGGCGAGUGGAAUUCCCGGUGUAGCGGUGAAAUGCGCAGAUAUCGGGAGGAACACCAAUUGCGAAGGCAGCUCGCUGGGACGUGACUGACGCUGAGACGCGAAAGCGUGGGGAGCAAAC